rnacentral:rRNA from 1 species
GUGGGGAAUUUUGCGCAAUGGGGGAAACCCUGACGCAGCAACGCCGCGUGAGUGAUGAAGGCCCUUGGGUCGUAAAGCUCUGACAGAGGGAAAGAAAUGUGGGUGGCUAAUAUCCAUUCCACUUGACGGUACCCUCAAAGGAAGCACCGGCUAACUCCGUGCCAGCAGCCGCGGUAAUACGGAGGGUGCGAGCGUUGUUCGGAUUUAUUGGGCGUAAAGCGCGUGUAGGCGGUUUUAUAAGUCUGAUGUGAAAGCCCCGGGCUCAACCUGGGAAGUGCAUUGGAUACUGUAAGACUUGAAUACGGGAGAGGGCAGUGGAAUUCCUGGUGUAGGAGUGAAAUCCGUAGAUAUCAGGAGGAACACCGGUGGCGAAGGCGGCUGCCUGGACCGAUAUUGACGCUGAGACGCGAAAGCGUGGGUAGCAAACAGGAUUAGAUACCCGAGUAGUCC